rnacentral:rRNA from 1 species
GUUUGAUCCUGGCUCAGGACGAACGCUGGCGGCGUGCUUAACACAUGCAAGUCGAACGGUGAACUCGCUUCGGCGGGGGAUCAGUGGCGAACGGGUGAGUAACACGUGGGCAACCUGCCCCCGGCUCUGGGAUAACUCCAAGAAAUUGGGGCUAAUACCGGAUGUGACCGCUGACCGCAUGGUCUGGUGGUGGAAAGAUUUAUCGGCUGGGGAUGGGCCCGCGGCCUAUCAGCUUGUUGGUGGGGUAGUGGCCUACCAAGGCGACGACGGGUAGCCGGCCUGAGAGGGUGACCGGCCACACUGGGACUGAGACACGGCCCAGACUCCUACGGGAGGCAGCAGUGGGGAAUAUUGCGCAAUGGGCGAAAGCCUGACGCAGCGACGCCGCGUGGGGGAUGACGGCCUUCGGGUUGUAAACCUCUUUCAGCAGGGACGAAGCGAAAGUGACGGUACCUGCAGAAGAAGCACCGGCCAACUACGUGCCAGCAGCCGCGGUAAUACGUAGGGUGCAAGCGUUGUCCGGAAUUAUUGGGCGUAAAGAGCUCGUAGGCGGUCUGUCGCGUCGGCUGUGAAAACCCGAGGCUCAACCUCGGGCCUGCAGUCGAUACGGGCAAACUAGAGUGUUGCAGGGGAGACUGGAAUUCCUGGUGUAGCGGUGAAAUGCGCAGAUAUCAGGGGGAACACCGGUGGCGAAGGCGGGUCUCUGGGCAACAACUGACGCUGAGGAGCGAAAGCGUGGGGAGCGAACAGGAUUAGAUACCCUGGUAGUCCACGCCGUAAACGUUGGGCGCUAGGUGUGGGGCUCAUUCCACGAGUUCCGUGCCGCAGCUAACGCAUUAAGCGCCCCGCCUGGGGAGUACGGCCGCAAGGCUAAAACUCAAAGGAAUUGACG